AUGAGGAUGAAGAAGAAAUCAUUCGGAUUCCCUUUGAUUUACAAUAUGAGAUCUCUAACCAGCUACUUCUGACUCAU